rnacentral:rRNA from 1 species
UACGUAGGGUGCAAGCGUUAUCCGGAAUUAUUGGGCGUAAAGAGCUCGUAGGCGGUUUGUCACGUCUGCUGUGAAAACUGGAGGCUCAACCUCCAGCCUGCAGUGGGUACGGGCAGACUAGAGUGCGGUAGGGGAGAUUGGAAUUCCUGGUGUAGCGGUGAAAUGCGCAGAUAUCAGGAGGAACACCGGUGGCGAAGGCGGGUCUCUGGGCCGAAACUGACGCUGAGGAGCGAAAGCGUGGGGAGCAAACAGG